rnacentral:rRNA from 1 species
GAUGAACGCUGGCGGCGUGCCUAAUACAUGCAAGUCGAGCGAAGCGGGGACGGGUGAGUAACACGUGGAUAACCUCCUAUAAGACUGGGAUACCUUCGGGAACCCGGAGCUACCCCGGAUACUUCUUGAUGCAUCCUCGCUGCAUUAGCUAGUUGGUAAGGUAACGGCUUACCAAGGCAACGAUGCAUAGCCGGCCUGAGAGGGUGAUCGGCCACACUGGAACUGAGACACGGUCCAGACUCCUACGGGAGGCAGCAGUAGGGAAUAUUCCGCAAUGGGCGAAAGCCUGACGGAGCAACGCCGCGUGAGUGAUGAAGGUCUUCGGAUCGUAAAACUCUUUUAUUAGGGAAGCGGUACCAAAUCAGAAAGCAACGGCUAACUACGUGCCAGCAGCCGCGGUAAUAC